GCCGCCCUCUCCCUCUUUGCUCUCUUCCGCCCCGCCGCCGCCUCCCUUUCCCUUCCCUUCCCUUCCCUUCCUUCUCCGUCUCUGAGCUCCGUGACGUGCUGCGGGAGGCCAAGCGCAACGCCGUGAGGCUCCGCGCGCUGCUGCAGCAGAAAGAAGCCGCCGCCUACCAUCCCCCAAGGCCCGCGGCCACCCUCCCCGUCGCCCGUCGUCCUCGCAAGGCCGCGGGCCGCCCUCCUCGCUGGCCGUCCCCGCCAGCAACCCUUCCCGCGUUGACCUCCGCGGCGGAGGCCUUGGGCUUGUCGCGGAUGGCGCGACUGCCCUGGCGCUCGCGGCAGAGGGACGCAAAGAUGGAGCAGCCGGAGCCUUCGAGCCCGAUGGCGGCUGCGAGGUUGGCGCUUCUCGAGGGCACGCGGCGCACGCGCAGUGGGGCCGCGCGAGUGCUGCCCAGAUCUGGUGCGGCACGACGCCGACGCAGUCGGCCACGAUGGCCUGCAACUGCUUGAUGCCAAGCAACGGCUGCACUGUGACGGUGCCGAGGUAGACGUUGCGAGUACCACGAUGGGUUUGACCCUAUUAGCAGGGCCAUCGGGUAUGGAGAUGGCCGGGCUGUUCAUGGCCUACCGCCGCACAGUGUUUGGCGCCACGACACCUAUGCUGAGGCGUUCGGGGUGGAUCCGGAGAAAGUGCUUCAAGCCGAGAAGCAAGCGGCUGCUGACCGAGCUCAACGAGGACUCCGAUCCAACCAAAGUAAAGUUUGAGACAUGCAUAUCCAGCAGUUGUCAGAGAUAGACCAUGGAAGCAAGGGCUGAUUGGGCUUCAAAACCAAGUCUGUCUCGUCCCUGCGUCCGGCUGCUUCUGCAGAGGUUCCAUCAAUAAGCAAAGCCGUAUCACCGAGAUGCACAACCUCUCAGAUAUAAGGUGGUGGAGUGUUGUUUCCCUUGCUAUAUCCUCUAGAUUUUUGUGCCUAGGUGGUAGGAGCAAGAUCAAUGAAUCUCUGUUCUCAAGGCGGUAAGGCGGACGCCUAGCAAGGUGGGGCGGCUGGACGCCUAGGCGAGCAAGGCAGGCGCCUAGGCGAGCAAGGCGCAAAUCGGUGGACAGAGCAAUGAAUGCGAAUAUGGAGGUUCUCCGGAGCCUGAAACUGGUGUCUACGAAAAAUGAGAAUAUCAAGAAGGGCUAUUCAGUCCCCUUUGUAUUGGAUAGUAUCUGAAUCAGUUGAAGCUUCAAGUGCAGGGGUACCCAAAGGAGCAGAUCCAAAAACGACUUAAAAAUUCUUGGGAUCAGUCCAAUUCCCAGGUCCCUUUGAUCAUCUUUUGGUAAAUGACGAUGACCUUGAAACUUGCUAUGAAAAAUUUGAAGGUAAUUCAUGCAGAUCAUUGCUACCUUGCCUAUCUUUGUUACAAUGAAAGAUUCCAAUUAUGAUCCUCAUCUUUUCUGAAAAAUUAUUAUUGCAACCCCUGCAGAAGUUGCUUUCUCCAGAUGAUGAUUAGAAAGAUUCAGAUGAUCUCUGUAAAGUUUAUGAACUUUGAUGCUUGUACUUUCUACUGAUGCUUCCGUGUAUGUUUUCUGAUAGCAAAUUUUAUUUUUAUCAGUUUCAUGGAUGGCAAAGUAAACCUCAAGUUACUCUAUCAUGUCCAAAAAUGACUCAGAAAUAUAGUUGCGAGUGAGAGAUGAAGCAAAAACUGAAGCUACAAGCUUGUUAGAUGAUGAGGUGGUGCUUACACUUGCUUCUGUAUCUGAACUUCUCCACAGGCUAGCACUUGAUUUGUCGUCUCUCUGGAGGUGCUCCUGGAUGACCAAGGGGCCUUAAACUUAAUUAACUCCUUUUGAUAGCUCCUAUGGAUGUUUUAGAUGACCCAAAGCAUUCUUCCAAGAUUGUAGAAGUGCUUGCAUGAGUUUUGGAUCAAUUCGCAUGAAUAAAAGCUUCAAAAAUACCUUAGGACAGAAAGACAUGUAAUCUAUUUCAAUUUGUUAUUCAUUUGUGCUUGAAUGAGGUGAAAUCUUAGUGAGGGAUUGUACCUUCUUUUUUAUGUUUGGUCUACUUCACUGCUGUUUAGAUGUCUGUUCGUCAAAUUACCUUAUGGCUGUAAAGGGUGAAGAAUUUCUGUUAUCUUAAAUAUCAUUUGAUUCUAUUGCUAAAUUUAAUUGUUGAGA